rnacentral:tRNA from 1 species
GGCCCUGUGGCUUAGCUUGGUACUUUACAUAAACCUGAUGUGAAGCAAGAAAGAGCACACGACUGAUAAUCGUGAGGUCCGGAGUUCAAAUCUCCGCGGGGCCA